rnacentral:rRNA from 1 species
AGAGUUUGAUCCUGGCUCAGGACGAACGCUGGCGGCGUGCCUAACACAUGCAAGUCGAACGGGAGUAGCAAUACUCCAGUGGCAGACGGGUGAGUAACGCGUGGUCAACCUACCUUCACGUGGGGGAUAACUAGCCGAAAGGUUAGCUAAUACCGCAUACGAUCGUCGUGAGGCAUCUUAUGACGAAGAAAGAAGCAAUUCGCGAGAAGCGGGGACUGCGUCCCAUUAGCUUGUUGGCGGGGUAACGGCCCACCAAGGCUCCGAUGGGUAGCUGGCUUGAGAGAGCGACCAGCCACACUGGGACUGAGACACGGCCCAGACUCCUACGGGAGGCAGCAGUGAGGAAUCUUCCGCAAUGGGCGAAAGCCUGACGGAGCAACGCCGCGUGUGGGAUGAAGGCUCUAGGGUUGUAAACCACUGUCGGAGGGGACGAUCGUGACGGUACCCUCCAAGAAAGCCCCGGCUAACUACGUGCCAGCAGCCGCGGUAAUACGUAGGGGGCGAGCGUUAUCCGGAUUUACUGGGCGUAAAGCGCGUUAAGGCGGAUGGCAAAGUUGGGGGUGAAAUUUCGGGGCUUAACCCCGAAACUGCCGCCAAUACUGGUCAUCUAGAGUGUGGGAGAGGAAGGUGGAAUUCCGGGUGUAGUAGUGAAAUGCGUAGAUAUCCGGAGGAACACCGGUGGCGAAGGCGGCCUUCUGGCCCAUAACUGACGCUGUAGCGCGAAAGCGUGGGGAGCGAACGGGAUUAGAUACCCCGGUAGUCCACGCCCUAAACUUUGUGCACUAGGUGUUGGGUGUAUUGACGCGCUCAGCGCCGUAGCUAACGCAUUAAGUGCACCGCCUGGGGACUACGGCCGCAAGGUUAAAACUCAAAGGAAUUGAC